AGGGAAUGCCUGGAGCCAUGGCAAUGACCCCUGGCCAAACUCUGAGAACUAAACUCCUGGAAUGUUCAGUCACUGGGUAAGGAUGUUAGAGGCAGUGGAUCAGGAUCUAUCAGGCUGUCAGCAUUGUUUAAAAUUUGAAACAGAUUCCCAAAUGUUAACCACAGAUGUCGCUGGCCCACAGAUCAAGAAAAAAUACAAAGGCAACACAUACACUUUAUGAGGUGGCCAACCAAAGUGGAUAAAGAAUUCACUAGAAACAGGCCAACCACACUUGGAGAGAGCAGACAGCUACUAUACUAUUGCCACCAGCACUGCUACCGCCGGUUUGGAUAACAAACAAUCCCACAGUCUCUUGGCUCUAGACUAGGGAUGAGAAAAACCAAAAACAAUUUGCAGACUAAAUGGAAAUCUCUGUUGUCAUUCCCUUUUCCCUAUUUUUCCUUCUCCAUGCAUUCCCCAGAGCUCACUGCCAUAGUUUUCUGUCUCCACAACUGAAUCAUAUAAGCAGCAAAAAUAUCACAGGACAAUAGUACCUUCAGAUGAAACUUGCCUUGUACAAUUGCAAACAGGAAAGUUCUCUACUACUUCACCUACAA